GAUGAAGAACGUAAGCGAAAUGCGAUAAGUAAUGCGAAUUGCAGAAUUUCCGUGAGUCAUCGAAUCUUUGAACGCACAUUGCGCCCACUGGUAUUCCGGUGGGCAUGCCUGUUCGAGCGUCAUUAUCCUCCCUCAAACCCCGGGUUUGGUGUUGGACCCAAGUUGUGUGAACAACUGGUCUCAAAGACAAUGACGGCGUCCGUGGGACCCUCGGUGCAACGAGCUUUUAGGAGCACGCAUCGAGUUGCAAGGACCUUCCGGGCCGGUCUCCUUUACCAUUUUACAAGGUUGACCUCGGAUCAGGUAGGAAUACCCGCUGAACUUAAGCAUAUCAUAAGCGGAGGA
rnacentral:misc_RNA from 1 species